CAUAGCAAUCUCUAGAUAUGCAAGAUUGAUGAAGCAAAUGCAUGCAUAAUAUAUAUAAUUGAGGAUGCUUUUUUGGUUGGUAAUCUUGUAGGAGAGUAUCAUGUAAAGAUGUGAGAUUCCAAAGCAAAUGUUAGAGCCAUUCAGUAGGGUAUCCUUGUGAGAAUUAUGUUCUGUUUUAUCUUUUGUGCUGGUAGAGAUGAGCUUUUAGUUGUGUACUAGCACAGAUCUAGUUCUUUUAGGUUGGUUCUUUGUGGCAGAUGGAGGUGAUUAUAGUUGGGAAGGAGUUGCAGGGUUUUGCCCUCCCAUAGUCCUUAACCUUAUGGAGAAGCUGUCACUUACUGAAAAGGAACAAGAAGAAUUUGUCAUCGUCGGAGAAGGCAACUUUAGAUUCUGGUGGUGUAGAAAGGUCUCUACUGGUGGUACCUUGUAACUGCUGCUAUAUUUGGUUAUGAAAGGCUACCAGAUUUUGCUUUGUCAGUGUGUGUGGCAAACUGGACGACCUAAACGAUGAAGAUGUCACAUUGCAUUCCAAACAACAAGUAGAAUUUGGCAUGGUUGUGGUGGUUGGUGACACAGGGUUUCCCAAGAAAGAGGAAGCUGAGGACUGUGUUGUAUCCAAAGGUGCUGAAAUAACAAGAUUACCUUUUGAGAGAAAAUCCUGUUAUUUCUUUCUCUCCACACCAGGGACAACCCUCCUCCACUACCAUGCCCACGUAGUUGGUCUGUCCUUGGUGGGGAACGUAUUUAGAAGGGCCAACCAAUACAUGAAAGCAUCUUUAAACCGGACUGGAUGAACCAGUUACACUAGAAAUUGGCCAAUUACUAUUUUAGAAAGAGAGAUUAAAUCGGUUGAAUUGCAAAUCGGAAAUCAGUUGAACCAGUAAAAAAUUAAUUGUAGAACUUUUAUGUUUUUGAGCCGAA